GGUUAUGGCUCAGUGGUAGAGCGCUCACCAGCACAUGGGAGGCCCUGGGUUCGAUCCUCAGCACCA
rnacentral:tRNA from 1 species